CCCGCCCUCGCCGGGACCCUGCGCGCUGCGCUGACUGCAGCGGGGACACCUGGGCCUCCGGCGCGCUGCCGCGAGGGGAGGCUCGCAGCUCCUAGCUGGGAGAAGACCUCGUCCCGCGGGAAAUGUAAACCACACGAGUGAGGUUUAUCAUCUUUCAAAGUGGAAAACCGAUUGCUUCAGGGCUAAGACAGAGCCCCACCAGCACGUAGGAAGUGGGUUUCUCUCUCUCUGCGCAGGUCCUGCCUCCUCCCUCUUCCUUUUCCUUUCUCUUCUCCUUAUUAAUCCCCCUUGACUUUGAGGGGCUGCACUUCCUGCCUUGAUGAAAAGUCUUCUUUUCAUUUAGUGUUGAUUGUUGACCAGCAGCCUCCUGGCUUUGGGCUCUGAGUUGACUUGGAAGCAGUUUCUCUUAGUUCAGUGAAAAAGUUUGAUGCGAUUGUCUUUCUUCUUUGUAAGAGAGAAUCUUUUUUGUCUAUGUCUUGUACUCUGAGUAACUACUUUGAAGAUAAUGAUACACAGUGUAUUGACAAUUGUUAGUCUCAUUAUUUUGAUAUGAAAUUUUGUUUUACUUUUUCAUAAAGAAAAAACCCUACAACCCCCAACCAGCUUCAGACAGACCCUGGGAGGUGGGAGGGAGGAUUCAAGCUGCCCUCCAGCUUCGUGUCCCCUUGUCAGCCAUUCCCUGCUGUUAAGGUGCCCGGACUGUCAGCCAGAUGCAGGAGGAUGGCUGGAGUUGCUGAGGGUUUUGAUGCGUUUCUGUAGAUCUGGAGCACUCCCCUCCCCUCCGCUUCUCUUGCCUUUGCAGUUCUUUUGCUCACCUCACCUGUUGUGUCCAGGUGAGAUCAGAUUCCAGGACCCAUCAAGAGUGACCAGGAAGGAGAAGGUGUGGGGAAGAGGUCAGGGCAAUGUUGAAUUUUAUUGGGCACUUACUAUGGGCCAGCACUCACUCUUCUGCACAUAAAGCGUCCUUAAUUUUCACAAAGGCACAAGAAGGGUGGAACUCCACUGUACAGAUGAGAAACUGAGGCUCAGAAAGAUCACUUCUUAGUCACAUAGCUAGUAAGUAACAUAGUGGGGAUAAAAAUCCAGGCUCUAAUUCUAAACCUGUGUUCUUUUAAACUUCUUUUGAGGAGCUUGAGUAAGGGCAAUCUGGAAGAACAAAAAGCAACUAACAUUAUCGAGCUCUUACCAGGUGUUAGACAUUGCUCACAGUAUCUUAGAGGUGUUAUGUCAUUAAUGGUGCAAGAGUUUUGUUAUCGUGGAGGGACCAGUGAAGGCUUUCCUUUCUCAGCAGUGGUCCUGCUCCAGAAGGCCUGCCUGAUCCAGCUGCCAGUGUGUGGGUGGGGCAGGGGCCCUGUUUGCUUUAUCCUAGAAGUGGUUUGGGGUCUAAUAAAAGAUGGAUUGUCCACAUCCGAUCCGUUAGAGCUGACCGUUGGCUUGUGAAUGAUCCCACUGUCCCCUAAGAGGCCCUUUUCAGGCUUCACUCAAUAAAUAUUUGUGGAAUGAAUGAAUUAACACCUUGUGCAGAGUGGUCUGUUGCCCUGGAGAAAUAUGACCCAGUUAAGGGCAGCUGGGCCCUGUCCUCAAAAACUAGUGCCAGGCCAGGCUGUUAUAUCCCUAGGGCAAGGGUUUGAACUGUGCCCCUGUGAGCUUCUGGAAUUCCUUGGUUAAAAUGUUUGCUGCCCCUGUUUUAUAAAGAGUUUUAAAGGAAAUAGCUCAUAAAGAGAAUUUGACUGUUUUCCCCCAACUAACCUAAAAAGUGACUUGGUAUUAAUGAGGUGAUUACCCUCUCAAAAGGGAAGUAGAGAAAUAAGGUGGUACUGAUUGCCUUAGGGUUUCCCAUCCUUCUCUAUGGAAGAGCCCUCAGUGGGAAAGAAGACAAACAAGUAUUCCCGGGAAUUGUGAUAUGGAUUAGUUGGCCCCAGGAAGCUUAAAAACUAUUUUAGGGACUUAAGAUCAGUUUUUCAUUUGAUUUUAUGAUAUGUGGAUCUCAGUUUAAACAUAUAAAAAUAUUUUCCCCAAAAUAUUUGCGUAAAAUUGGUGCUCUGGCAAAUUGUUUUAUAUUCUUGGUGCCUGGGGAUACUCGAAUGGAGAAGCAGGGCAAAAGUUUUGGUCUGGGGGCUUAUAGUGCUGUUUCCAUUUUCCAUUCCCUGGUUCACAGGAACAGAGCUUAACUCCUGGGGAAAAUGACCCCUUUCCCCAUUUUCCAGAAUAAAGAAUAUGUUUUAAAAAUAAAUGUAUUCUUUAUUGCUUUCUUUCUUUUUACCAAAACUAUAUUAAUUGCAGAAAAAAGAUAAAAUACAGAAUACUACUAAAAACAGCAAUGAUUGAAUUGAUACAUCUACACGUAGAAAUAACUAAUGGAGAACUUAGGAUGUAAUUCGCUGAAUCUUUUUUUCUGCAUAUAUAUGUGAAAACAAAUACAUUCCUCAUUUUAAUUGAAUUCUUAUCAAAGCUAAGAGCCAUCUCAUUGAAAGAAUAUAGAAGCUAAAUUAUGAAUAAUUAAAAACAAUCUAAAAGUUAAUCCUGUUUGUGAGCCACGAAGUUUAACACACACCCUUCCUCCAUUAUUCCCUGUGUCACUCAGUCUCCAGCAGAGAAACAUGUCAGGCUGUGAGGCUGCUUCUGAAGCUGUAGGGUCAAACUGUUCUCCUUGCUCCAUGUCUCAAAUGUAACAGAAUAGAUUGUACUUCAGUGUUACUGAUGUGCAAAAUGUGAGCAGAAAAUUCAAAACCUUCUUUUGGAAGUGAGAAGGAGAGGGCCCUAAACAAGGUCUUUGUUCUAGUUCUGCAUUUCAUUACCUGUGUGACCUUGGACAACACAGGUAACUUCUCUAACCUGGUUUUUUUUUACUGUAAAUUUGAAAUUAGGAACCUUGUGUUAGAGUUCCAUUAUUAUGACAAAAUACCUGAGAGAAUCAGCUUACAAGGAGGAAUGGUAUAUUUUGGUUCACAGUUUUAGUCCAUGGUCAGUUGACUCUUGCUUUUGGGCCCAGGGAGACACAGAGUAUCAUGACAGGGAACAUGUGGUAGAGGAAACUGCUCACCUCUUGGCAGCCCACAAGGAGAGAAAGAGACAGGAAGUGGCCAAGGUCCCAAUGUCCCCUUCCAGGGCAAACUUCUAGUGACCUAACUUCCUUCCACUAGGCCCCACCUCCUAAAGAUUCCACCACUUCCCACUAACACACAAGCUUUCAACACAUAAGCCUUUGGGAUAUUUUAGAUCCAAACUAUAACAUUACUCUGCUUCCCUACUAGAAUCACCACAAGGACCAAGUAUCAAGUGUUAUUGUUUGUUACUUGAGUGCAUGAAAGUGUGUGCUACUUAAUGUUUAAACAUAGAUAGCUCAAAAGCAUUGACUUUAUGAAAUGCUGGAAUCAAACUCUUGACUUAAUAGUAAUAGGACUAAAUUAUGGUAUAAAUUUUCUACUGGAAUUUUGUUGUCUUCACAGAAUCUAGGAUUCCUCGGUGGCUAGUAUCUUACUAGUCUUUGUCAUAAUCCUGAACAGAAGAGAAGGACAGAAGAUAGUUCCACUUUUUAGGAUAAAGGCAAGCUUGCCAUUCAGAGGAGCUAUUUAUUUGCACAGGGAGUUCCUGAAAGUUGUCCCUAGUUACCUUGAGCAAGGCAGAGGCUUGUGAGGAGGAAGCAUUAAGAGCACCUGGAAAGGCAGUGUAUCCCUAGAGGGCAUGGUGAGUGCCAUCAGCCAGUGCAUCAAGGGGGCUCUCAGGCAUACACCCUGCUCCUGGCAGCUUGGGAACCAGUGGACCCUGCACUGGGAGGCAAGUGGCUUGGCUUCUACCCCUGAAUCUCCAAAGAAAAUUUGUAAUAACUGAGUUUAGUCACAUCCACCUUUUGAGCCUUGGUUUUGUUAUCUAUAAAGUUAGGGAAUUUGAUCACCUGAGGUUCCUUCCAGUAUAAAAAACCUGUUAUUUUCCAUUUCUAUCUGUUCAAAUAACAGUCUGAUAGAGAAUUACCACAUCUAGAUGACUUAAGUGUUAAAAAAUGUUCCUGCUUUUCGUUGUUUGGAACUUUUGGUGAUUUUCUAAGAAUCUCCGCACUUGACUGCCCUCCAUAGAUCAUUCAGAGGGGAGCUGUUUCCACUUAUUUGUGUGUCGCUGUUAAUCUAGUACCUCCAUCUACAAUGCUUUGAUGCUUUUAGAGAUGUGCCAACCAUCUAGAACAGCAAUGGUGGGCCCUUUGUAUCAUUGAAAGCUCUAAAAAGUUCACCAUCGCUGGACUAAAAUGUUGUAAGGAAAGAACAGUUUGGGUGCAAGUUUUGGAAAGGUAGGUAUAUAGAAACAUAAUGAAAGUAGGUUUUUAUGGUAAUCAUGUGUCACUAACUAAUUGCCUCCUUCAGUCACUGAAUACAGUGAUUUUACUUCCUGCCCCUUGGCCACUUUGAUCUGUGCUACCUUUGCAGAAUGUGGAAGAGACACAUGACUCCCCUCUUGAGUUUCUUAGUUGGAGAAUGGUGGGGAAGAGGCUACCAAAGACAGGAGGCAGAGAAUUCAGCUGUAGUUGGAAUAGGAACGAGCUGAAAAGAUCAAUUUAAGAACAGAUUGAACCCCCAAGGGCUUGGAGUGUGUAGCUGAAUGCUACACCUGUGUCGCCUGGCAUAGUCGCUGGCACUCAGUGGAAACUCAGUAAAGUAUUUCAAAUUAAAUGAUAAAUGAACAGGUUGAAGAAUGAGUUAAUCCUUCUCCUGAAAUGAAGUCUUUGCUGAAGUGUAGUGCAAUAUGCCUUGGAUAGUUGCAGUGACUUCUUUAUGUUCUUAUAAUCUACAGAAACCCUUCCCUGUAUGUUCUCUCUUGCAUUGAUGACUGAGAUAAAAGGCAUAAAUAAAGGCAUUUCCUAAUGUCACACUUUGCUGCUGUGGCAGAAAUAGAUUAGGUUUAUUACUCUUAGAUGUCUUCUUUCUAAAAUGAUCAAGAAAUAUUUGAAGGUGGGGUAGGCAUAAGACCUAGCAAGCAAUUCCACAAAUUUGCAUUCUGAGCUGGAAGAAGAAAGACAGCAUUUGACUUCUGGGUGAACAGACAUUUCUUUUUUCCCUUACAGAAGCAUUGUUUUACUGUAGUCUUGACAGAAUGUGAUGCUAUCAUCUGCUAAUCAGACAGAUAUGUUUUGUGCCUCUAUUACUCAUGGCCACAGGCGCCUGGGCUUUCCUGCCUCUGGCUGAGUCACUUGGUUAAAACACAGGGCUGUGAGGCUGAGGGCUGGGCUCUGUCCCAGGCCAGACUGAGAUCUGUGCCCUGACCAUUUCUAUCCCCUCUGCCAGUGAUCUGUGUUGGGAGGAAAACAGCUGUGACAUGUUAGAUUCUUCCGGGCAGAUUCUUUACCACUGUUGGUUUUGGACUAGUCAUUUGUGUUGCAGAAACAAAGGGUCUGGAUUUUCAGUUUGACUCUGGAAUAUAUUCUAGGAUUGUUUCAGUUUUACCAUUUUGGGUUAUUUUCAGGGGACGCGUGUUGAGACCUUUGCUGUCCCCAUAUCUGAACUGUUAUCAUAGCCUGUAAUCUCUUUGAUGUGUCUGUAAAAUGGAACAAUUAUACCUGCCUCAGAAGUUGUUGAGAAGAUUGGAUGAGGUCAUAUAUUUAAUGAAAACCAGAGAAACAGAUACUGUACCCGGGUGGUUGGCCAAAGAUGCAUCAGCUAAACACUCACCACCUCAUAUAUAUCAGUUUCUGUGUGACAUAUUCAAGGUAACCUAUGAAUAGUUAAAACUAAGAGGAAGAACAGAGAUUUGGAUCCAGGCAAUCUGACUCUAGACCCUAUGCUUUGGAUCAUCAAAAUAUAAUCUCAUGUAUUUACAUCCUGCCUGUACCCUAGGAGUAUUCUGCUUUAUUUUCCAUGAAAUCAGAAAACUACAACCUGAGUUCUACAUGCAGAAGCAAAUUUUAUAGCCUGACCAGUUUUUUGACCACAUAGAACAAUAUUUUAAAAUGAGCCUGUUGCAUAAAUUUAGAAAAUUUUCUUACACAGAGGUGGUAAUAAUUAAUGAAUUUAAAUAUUUUAGGAAAUAUCUGGGGUUGACCUGAGACCACAAAGUGAUGAGUCAGCAACUUAGUGGCCUAUUUAAGAAUCGGUUCUGCCCUGGGGUAUAGUAACUAAAGUGCUAUGCUUAGAAAGUUAAAUCCUGGUUCUAUUUAUAUUAGGUAGUUCACAUCAUUUGUGUCCUUUACAUAGAAAAACAAAAAUGAUAUCCUGUUUUGCAUUCCUUUUGGAAAUACUACGAAGGAUAAUAAUAAACAGAAUAUUAUCUAUUGAGCGCAUACUGUGUGUCAGGCCCUUGCUCAUCUAAUUGAUGGGACAGCGCUCUGAAGCACAGGAUAAUUAUCCAUUUUACUGAAGAGAAAAUGGCAGGAGAAGGUAAGUAUCUCUAGUAAUAGAGUUAGUACAUGACAAAGCAAACUUUUGAACUCAAGUUGCUUAAAGCAUGUGCUCUCUACUGUCCUGACUUUCUGGGGGCAGUUCUUUAGAACAAAGAUACAGUAUUAUGCUCAUGCUUAUUGAGACUUAUUGUUUGGCAUGAGUCUUGUAACAGAUUAUAGUAUUUGAAACUGAGACUGUUUCAGAAAACCUGAGCAUAUUUCUGCUACCCUAGCAAUGCAAUGAUGGAUUUGACAGAUUAUUCUAGGAAAAAUACCAGGUUCUCCCAGCAUACAAUGUCCUUGGGAGUUCACUGCUUAUUACUGCAGUUAAAAAGCAGCACAAGUGUAGAGUUCCUGAAAUAUGACUCUGGAGAACUGGAGGCCUUUUUUUUUUUUUUGGACCCGGGUUGGAACUCUGGUCCUUGCACUUGCUGGGCAGGCGGUGGAACCACUGAACUAAAUCCCUGGCCCCUUGGAGGCCAUCUUUUAUUUAUGGUUUAUUUCUGGAAUAUCCUAAUCAUGUUUUAUUUUGGGUAUCACAGUUUGAGAAAUGAGAGGGAAUAUGCUGAAGAACUUGAGUGAAAAUGAAGUGGAUCUUCAUUCCAUACAUGUUAGGGGACUUAUUAAAAUUAAAUCUUUAUAUCAGCCGAUCUGCUCAGAUCACUUAAAUAUGACACUUUUAAACUCUGCAUAUUUUUGUUGAGUUCUAAUUCCCUGAAACACUUGGGACCAGAAGUGUUUUAUGUUGUGGAGUUUGGAAUAUUUGUCUGUUCUUAAUGAGAUAUGUUGGAAUAGGACCCAAAUCUAAACAAUUAAAAUCAGUUAUGUUUUCUAUAGCCCUUAUUUAAAGCUUAAAUAUAAUUUUAUACAAUAUUUUUAGUGUGGCUAUAUUUUGAUUAUAAUCAAUCACCUGAG
ensembl:lncRNA